rnacentral:rRNA from 1 species
UACAGAGGGUGCGAGCGUUAAUCGGAAUUACUGGGCGUAAAGCGCACGUAGUCGGCUUUGCAAGUCGGGUGUGAAAUCCCCGGGCUCAACCUGGGAACUGCAUCCGAGACUGCAUUGCUAGAGUAUGGGAGAGGGAAGCGGAAUUUCUGGUGUAGCAGUGAAAUGCGUAGAUAUCAGAAGGAACAUCAGUGGCGAAGGCGGCUACCUGGAUUGACACUGACACUGAGGCGCGAGAGCGUGGGGAGCAAACAGG